rnacentral:lncRNA from 1 species
GAUGUCUCAACACGAAACUCGAAUUUCGUCUGCCAUAUUAUGGCUGUCAAAGUUUUCUAUAAAAUAAGGGGGGGGGGAGAAAAAACCUUUGUUUGAAAAAUUUCUAGAAUCAAUUUACAAUUUACAAGGUUUAAGUACAAGUUUAGGUACAAUUUACAUUCUACUGGAGUCUGUAUUAUGCACAAAAUUCAUCAGCUGUUGCCUUAACAUUCGAGAAAAACUAGAAACUUACAACUUGGAGAAAGUUGCAAAAUGACUAUGAGUUAAAAGCUCAGCAAAAUGCUUGUUUGUCGUUUAUCAAACUUUGAAAAAACUAACAAGAUAUUACUUGGAAUAAGUUGCAAAAUAACAUUCAUCGGUUACGUAUACUAAGUCGUUUAUACGCAAAACUUAUCAAUAGUGGCUUAAAACUUCGAAAAAUCAUUACCUCGACAAGUUUUUCAAAUAACGUAUACGAUAUAUCUAAAUGAAAAAUAGCUGCAAUCGACAGAAAUUUUUUAUCUUCAAUUUUUAUUACUACCAUUCCUUAUUAUACAACUGAAUAUAUUUUUAUCAACAGAGCAAUGUUUCUAGAACAAGCCAAGGCUAAAGGUUGAUUUCCAAUUUUCAAUUGGCCAAUUUUAAUAUUACGAGACUUGUUUUUGUCUGAUAUCGUCGUUAACUAAUUUCACUGAUAAUAUUAAUUUUAUCAGGUUUUGAAUUUCAUUUCGAUGAUAUCAAAUUUUCCUAGUCAUAUAAAAGUACUACCAAGUGAUACAAAAUUUAUUAUAGUCGGAUUCAAUUAAUUAUAUAAUUGCAAUGAUAAAUACAGAAGUGCACGAACAAUUUUUCUACCCACUCUAACUAUACGGUGCUAUUAAAAUAAUUGUACGUUCGUCAUCGUGCACGAUGAGCGUCCGUGGUCACGGACGAAACAUAUGGAGACAGAAGUUAUUCGAGGGGCGCAGCUGACUUGACUACAAAUAUCGUGGCUGGUGUUGCAGAAACUCGAUAUGAACGGUGCCGCUCGCCCUUGUGCCAAUAAACUGUAUUGCAGCUCGUAUCUCGCCGCUAGAGCCAUUAGCUUGUCGAAUCCUAAUGCCGAUUGCGAUUAUUACGAUCUGCCAAUCGCCUAUUUCAAAUGCGACUCGCGAUCUUUAACGUUUCACGUUUCCGGUCGCUGAUUAUCUCGCUCAGAAUCUUUCUCGGUUUGUGCAUUUGGUCUACGAUGGAGAACCUAGUGGAGUUAAAUUUAAGUUCGUCUAUGAGACGUGAAAUUUUCCGAAGAUUUCUCUCUUCCAGGGGAAAUAUAGCAAGGACCUAGUAACGUGAGUCACUGAGCCAUCGCGGCAGUCAACGUGUUAGGAAAUCUUUCUCAAACGAAUCUCAGUUAGUCAGAUGUAUUCGUCUCGAAAACGUCGAUCGGUGUUUCCACCCGCUUUAGAAUGAUGCCGAGUGUUUGCACGAGGUGAGCAACGGAAAUGACGAGGCUGUGCAAGUGAACAUAAACGCGGUGUUUCGUGCUCUACCACAUUUCUCACGCAUCUGGCCAGAAUCCCGUUUGGAUUACGUCGUAGAAGGAGGUGGAACGCGCAGCAACCAAGAAAGGGGUUGGGCUGGUCUUUUCACAGGAAAUUGUGGUUCUGUGAAUGCCGUUUGGAUUACUCAAGAGCGUCCAACCGAUGCCUGAUUUCGGGAAUCAGCGCCAGGCAGCCCCGGAUCCUCGCAUCAUCCUCGUUUGAGAACAUCUCAGGCAUGAAGGAGCGCGAGAUGAAACUCUUUGGCUGCCGAUGGUCCUUUUGGAAUUUCGCGACUAAUCUCGCAGGUUCGUCAUCCGGAUAUUAUUGAACAAACGAACGUUACACAGCA